UCGGCCGGUUCCAGGGCCGGGGCCGGCUCCGUGCUGCUCGUGGGGUGCCGGGGGCGGCCACGCCGUGUCUCGGCCAGGAGCUUGCGGAGCCCACAGCGCCCCAGCACGGCCGCCCCGGCUCGUCUCGUCUCGCCGCCCUUCCCCGCCUCCCCCCACACCCCGGCCCGCCUCCCCGCCGAGGAGCGGCUUCCCCCAGGAGAGCGGUCAGGCCCCCUCCGCGGGGAUUUAUCGCGACAGCGGCGAUACAAGGAGAGGCACAGCCGAAAUCUCCAGAAAGCCAUCGCCGGCCCUGCCCGCGCGGUUUGAGGUCCUUGGGAAUUUUGUCAGAGCUUGAAGACAAACUUGCCGGUAAGGGUGGAAGGGGAAGAAGAGUCGUGUGAUUCACGUUCUGUGGUGAGCUGCCUGUUUUGUGGACACUCUAAAACAGAAGUUUGAAGAAGAUAAAGUGGUGACUCGGAGUUCCCAAAACGAGAGGCUGGCUACCAAGGGAAAAAUCAGAGUAUUCAGUAUCAGAAUAUCGCUGCUUCUGGAAACCCCCUUCUUUUUCCUUUAGUAAAUUUAGAUUCAUUUUGUCAGAUAACUUAAAUGACAUCAUAACUGGCUUAAAUUUUCAUUGUUCAAGUGAAGUGGCAUAAAUUGCAGCUAAAAUACAAAGUAAUUCCAAAAUAAAUCUUUAAAUCAUUCCUUUGAAAUUCUGCUGAAACUGUUAAUGGCUGCAAAACUCAAAUACAUCUUGUAUCAAUGGAAGUUUUGUCUGUGGUGUCCUGAUUUUUAGAUUAACAAGUGCAAUUGUCUUUGAAUCUAUGUUGUAAUGGCUUACAGAAUAGCUGUGUAACAAUACCUGUUGACUUUGUUUCCAACCAUAAAUCGGUUCAUGGCCUUGUGCCUGAAAGACUUUCAUUAUGCUCAGUCUCAAUACAUGCAGUUGAUUUUCCUUUUAAUCACUCAGUUUUAACCACUGUUGAGAAAUACCUUUAUAAUUGUUUGUCUCAAUCAAUACAAGACCUAACUUGUUUCAGCAGUUUAUUACAUGUAAAAAAUUCUAAACCUUUUUGUUUCCUUUGCUACUGAUUUUUAACUUAAUCACUUCGGUUUCUCUAAAUGUAAUCAAGAGUCCCUUUUUGCAGUAAAUGCCAAGUGACCGCCAGGAAAAAUCUUUAGCAGAUUUAAGGAUAAUCAGUUACUGCAUGAUGGACUUCAGUUAGCUUCUACUCUCUGAAUGUGCUGAAGACUGAGAAAAUAAACAUUUUCAAGUAAAACUCCACAUAUCUGCUUAUGCAACCAUAGCAGCACCUCAGACUUUGCUUGUGCAGGACAUACAACGCCUGUCAGUGACGAACAAAUGUGCGAUGGACUUACCCAGCACGUGGUCUUAGAGAAGAAAAGUGCGAUGGGACUGGACUUCUGGAGCCUAAUUAAGUCUACACUGUUUCUGUCAGUGCUGCUGCCACAUUUGAAUGAGGAGGUGACGUAAUCCGUAAUUCACCAUCUGUCUCAUUGUGUCAGGUGAUAAAUGACCUGGUGCAGCAAGCUCUGCCUUUCCCAUUGCUUGUUAUCUAAUGGACAUAAUAAUGAAAAGGUGCUCAGUGAUACUAAAAGAGAAGUCUCAAAAUCCUUCACUGUGCCUAUAGACAGGAUACCUCUUCAUGUGGGCUUCUCAGGGUAGAUCAGCUUUUGGAUAAAACUGACGCUUUUGUUAAAUACUGUUUCUAAAUGAUAGAGUAUUUAGGCCAUGGAGCAAAGAAGCAGCUGCCUCUUGGUUUCUUCCUUGAGCUUUUAACUUGCUGAAUAUUUGUGAGAAUUCCCACUGAUCAUUUGCAUUCUGAAGAAGUCUGUGGUCUGCCUUGCUUCUUCACAUGGGAAUUUCCACACAGAUAGUGAGAUAAGUGAAGAUCCAGAACAAACAGGGUAUUUUAUUGUAUUUUUCCUUAUACCUUGAUUAGUGUUGUAAUAAAAAAAAAAUUCGUUGUCAUGAUUUAAGAAGUAUCGAACUUCUCAUUUUUGUUGUUGUUGUUUUUGUUUUUUAAUUACUACUUUUUUUUGGUGGUGGUAUUUACAGGUACUUUGCAAGUAGGAUAAUGGCAGGAUUUAAGUGGCAGGGUCUUUGCAAGUAGGAUUUUAUGGCAGGAUUUAAAAUGGCAGGCCCAGUAAAAUGGACUUGUUAUCUGGCCCACAAAGUCUGGGGAGAUGUGUAUAGCAAGCUGCUGUAUUUUUAGCAAGGUAGUAAAAAAAGUAAGUGGUAAAUGAUUAAAAUCAUGUAGCAGAAAUGACUAUGUCUUAUGAAGAUAAUUAAACACUUACUCGGGUCACUAAUGCAAUUUUCUGUGAACAUGUUAACAUUUAAUAUCCAUUAUCAUGAUGUAUUGCAUAUGACUCACCUGAGGACAGGAAAAUGCUAAUCUUAAGUACACUAAUCUGUAUCACUUAGAUAAAACUAUUUAGAUGAGCAUAUGAAGUAACAGAGAAGCGUGGCAGUAGUCAGAACAUGGACUUCUGUACUUUGCCAUUAUAUUGCUCGUUAAACUUUUGGCUAUUGGACUUAAGCAUGACAGACCUCAUUACCUAUUAAAUAGUCAGAAACACUUGAGAAACAGAUGCUAUUUUUCUCUUAUCUACUCACAGGUUCUGAAUUUUAUAUGUAUAUUUAGGGUUGAAUAAAGGAUUAUGUUUCAGAAAAUGCGUUUUCAUUCAGUAAUAUCGGAAUCUUUGUCCUUGCUUUUUGUGGUGUUUACAGCCUUUAAAUAAAAAGAGAAUGCUUAUUUAACAGGCUUUUAAAUGAAAAGAGAAUGUAUAUUUGUUUUAUAAUAGGUUUGUUUAAGGAGUAUUUUCUCUUCAAAAUAUUUCGGUAUGUUUUGUACUACCCACAUACAAGGAAUAAAGGAGUUUGGUAUUGACUUCUUCA